rnacentral:rRNA from 1 species
GAUGAACGCUGGCGGCGUGCUUAACACAUGCAAGUCGAACGAUGAAGCCCAGCUUGCUGGGUGGAUUAGUGGCGAACGGGUGAGUAACACGUGAGUAACCUGCCCUUAACUCUGGGAUAAGCCUGGGAAACUGGGUCUAAUACCGGAUAGGAGCGUCCACCGCAUGGUGGGUGUUGGAAAGAUUUAUCGGUUUUGGAUGGACUCGCGGCCUAUCAGCUUGUUGGUGAGGUAAUGGCUCACCAAGGCGACGACGGGUAGCCGGCCUGAGAGGGUGACCGGCCACACUGGGACUGAGACACGGCCCAGACUCCUACGGGAGGCAGCAGUGGGGAAUAUUGCACAAUGGGCGCAAGCCUGAUCCAGCAAUGCCGCGUGAGUGAUGAAGGCCUUAGGGUUGUAAAGCUCUUUUACCCGGGAUGAUAAUGACAGUACCGGGAGAAUAAGCUCCGGCUAACUCCGUG